rnacentral:rRNA from 1 species
ACUACGGGAGGCAGCAGUGAGGAAUAUUGGUCAAUGGACGAGAGUCUGAACCAGCCAAGUAGCGUGAAGGAUGACUGCCCUAUGGGUUGUAAACUUCUUUUAUAUAGGAAUAAAAUGUUACACGUGUGGGAUUUUGUAUGUACCAUAUGAAUAAGGAUCGGCUAACUCGGUGCCAGCAGCCGCGGUAAUACGGAGGAUCCGAGCGUUAUCCGGAUUUAUUGGGUUUAAAGGGAGCGUAGGUGGAUUGUUAAGGCAGUUGUGAAAGGUUGCGGCUGAACCGGAAAAUUGCAGUUGAAACUGGCGGUCUUGAGUACAGUAGAGGUGGGCGGAAUUCGUGGUGUAGCGGUGCAAUGCUUAGAUAUCACGAAGAACUCCGAUUGCGAAGGCAGUUCACUGGACUGCAACUGACGCUGAGGCUCGAAAGUGUGGGUAUCAAACAGGAUUAGAUACCCUUGUAGUC